GACAGAGGUCUCGAGCGUUAAUCGGAUUUAUUGGGCUUAAAGCGUGCGUAGGCGGGCCGCUAAGCGCUCCGUGAAAGCCCCCGGCUCAACCGGGGAACAGCGGGGCGGACUGGCGGCCUUGAGGCAGGUAUGAGCGGACGGAACUGUCGGUGGAGCGGUGAAAUGCGUAGAGAUCGACAGGAACGCCUAUGGUGAAGACGGUCCGCUGGGCCUGUCCUGACGCUCAGGCACGAAAGCGUGGGGAGCAAACAGG
rnacentral:rRNA from 1 species